rnacentral:rRNA from 1 species
CCUACGGGAGGCAGCAGUGGGGAAUAUUGCACAAUGGGCGAAAGCCUGAUGCAGCAACGCCGCGUGAAGGAAGACGGUUUUCGGAUUGUAAACUUCUAUCAAUAGGGAAGAAAGAACUGACGGUACCUAAAUAAGAAGCCCCGGCUAACUACGUGCCAGCAGCCGCGGUAAUACGUAGGGGGCAAGCGUUAUCCGGAUUUAUUGGGUUUAAAGGGUGCGUAGGCGGGCAUUUAAGCCGGCGGUCAAGUGUCGGGGCUCAACCCCGGCCUGCCGUCGGAACUGGGUGCCUUGAGUGGGCGAGAAGUAUGCGGAAUGCGUGGUGUAGCGGUGAAAUGCAUAGAUAUCACGCAGAACCCCGAUUGCGAAGGCAGCAUACCGGCGCCCUACUGACGCUGAGGCACGAAAGUGCGGGUAUCGAACAGGAUUAGAUACCCCAGUAGUC